AUUGUAUUUUUUUCUGAAAAUUGGCAGUUAUGUACUUUAAAGUGAUUGUGAAAAUCACAACAAAUAUUGGUUAAAUCGAACUUCAAAAUCAUCUGUAUCAUACGAACGUUCGAUGCAACUGUUUACGUGACCCAGUUGUUCCGGCCUCAAUUUGAUUGCAACAUGUGCUUUUUCUGAGAACGUUUCGUCCAACUACAAUGUAUGAAUGAAGAUUGAAUUUGGGCAGAGUUGACAACAUUAUUUAUUGAGAAGAGUUGGUGGAGGUACCACCACCACCUAAUAUAUCUGUCAUCAAAGCCAGAAGAGGAAGAGGCCAUGAUAUCUCCACAGACAAGGAAGCCCAUGAUGAGUCUCCAGCAAGCUGUUGCACAUCUAUCACAUUAGAGAACUCGGUGAUAAAGGGGUACCAUGUGUACAAGAUAAAAAACCCAAUAACUGACCCUGUGACAAAGCUUGUUGUAGAUAGGGUAUAUACUUACAUCAAAGAUAAAGAUGCAUGCCUUGUGUGGAUUCCUGGACUUUCUGAGUUUGAUAUCACUUUACAUGACAUGGUAACCGAUGAUAAAAGACAGCUUAAGUUGUCAGAUAUAGCUGCCCUUCCAACUGGCCAUGUACCAUGCAUUCUUUGUUUUUACAAUGUACUUGAUUCGGGUGGACACGUGUGUGCCAUCAUGACUGGUGAACCGACGCCCAGUUUCCCACAGUGGCCUGCUCCAUCUGAGAGUGGUGGUGGCGUUGUUAUUCCAUGUAAAUAUGUACUUACAGCAGAAGAUGAAGUAACACUAUACAAAUGUUAAGAGAUACACUCAAAAAGAUGCCCGAAUGUUACGUGAUGAAAAUAGUUGUUAAUUGACAUUGAUAUACUUGUUAUUGCCAUGAAAAUAAGGUGGACUAAAACUGAUAGAUAAACUAAUCAGUUAAUUCAUAUGUCUUUAGAAUGUAUUUAGAAUUUAAUUGGCAUUGUUUUGUUUUCAACAAAUCUAGUGAUAAUUCGUUGCUCAUUAUUUCUCACCUGCAAAGAAAGAAUCUCCAAAUUACAAUUUUGAUUGU